AGGAUUGGUUGCGCAGGCGCAGGGAAGGAUCCGUUUUGGCGGGCGGUUGGCAUUGCGCAGAAGGCGGCGGUAGCGGUGGCUUGUGGUGCCGCUUUACCACAGAGGAACCGUGCAGGCCUUAGCGUGAGUGAUCACUUUAGAUCUUGGGUAAGUGGCAGAGUCUCGUCUACCCGUACGAGAUCUUGAACCCCCCCCCCAAUAAAGCUUACUCUUGCAUUUGUGGGGGCGAGUAUUUUAACUUAAAAUGACUCCUAUAACUAAGGCAUUCAUUCUGUAUAUUACCUUAGGGAAAACAUAUGUUUUCUUGUGGCCCUUGAGUUAAUCAUUUUUCUUGUAGUUUUUGGUACGUUCCUCCCUUCACUUGAGACUUUGGAGAACGUGCCUUUAGUCUUUGAAAACUUUUAAGAGAAGAAUAUUGAAAUUUUGAAUGAGAUGACUUAGGUAAAGUACUUGCAAUGAAAAGCAUCCAAGAAAAAUAGACUUAACCACUAGCACCCAUUUCCAGGGACACUGUAUUUGUAUUUCUAUCUCUAUGAAAGUUUUUGAGAGUUACAUGUCAAAAGUCAAAACGUGUUGCUUCUAUGGAAACAGUGGGGCCAAGGCCUGUAUGUUUGAGGGAUAAUUGUCAUUGAUGAAAUAAUGAAAACCUUAAUAAAAAUAGACACAUUUGGUUUUUUGUUUGUUUGUUUUGUGUCAUCAUGUACUUGUCACCACCAUUCAUGUUCCCAAUUCUUUUAUCUGAAUCUCUUCUCCGAAGAACAUUUUUCUCCCCUAACAUUCAAGAUACUCUAAGCUCCUAUUUCUGCUGUUCAUUUGAGGAUGUCUGGUGUGGGGUGAAAAAGCUGAUUCAUUUAGGAGGUAUUUAGGGUGUUGGGGACAGAAGACUCCACCAUAUCUUGAGUUGUUAUUCAUUGUUUUGAUUCCAUAUAUUUUUGUAUUUUCUCUGCAAUUUUGUUGGUGUUGAUAAUACCCACACUUCUCAGAGUAUCUAGACAAAUGUAUAAUUUCCAUUUAUUAUCUGUGUCUGUUGAUUUAUUUAUAGUCUUUGAGGUAGAGGUACCUCAUUGUGAUAAGAAAAUUCCAGCCUGGCGUUAGUGGUCAUUGCCUUUAAUCCUAGCAGGAAGAUGGAUAUCUGUUUGAGGCCAGCCUCCUGGUCCAUGUAGUGAGUUACUUGACAGCCAAAGCAUAAUCAGACCCUGUCUCAAAAACGAAGAAAAGAAAGAAAAGAAGAUAGUUUCAUACUUUUUACAAAAGACUGAUGAUGCCGGGUGGUGGUGGUGCACGUCUCUGCCUCCCAAGUGCUGGGACUAAAGGCGUGUACCACCACCGCCUGGCGCUUGACAGGUUUUAGUGAUGUUUCUAAUGAAUAGAGAUUUCCAUAGUCACUGGCACUUUAAAAAGGACAAACAUAUUAUACAACCAUUAGCUGCUUAUUUACACUAACAGUGCAACUUCAGUACUGAGCUCUAAAGUGAUAGUGGACUCACGGCAUCUACCUAGAUAUGGUUCAGAAUAUUUUUUUUUCCUUCCAGACAUGGUUUCUCUGUGUAGCCCUCAUUCUGUAGACCAUGCUAGUCUUGAACUCAGAGAUCCGCGAGCCGCUUGUUCUCGAGAGUGCCGGGAUUAAAGGCGUGAGCCACACUUGCUCAGUCUCUGCUUUCUUCCUUUCCUUUCAGUGUUUCAGUUUUGUUUUUUUUUUUUCAAAUUUUUAUUAGGUAUUUUCUUCAUUUACAUUUCAAAUGCUAUUCUGAAAGUCCCCCAUACUUCCCCCCCAGUGUUUCAGUUUUAAAACAAUACCAAAAAUGUAAAAAUGAAUAAUAAAGUCUUCCUCUAAAAGGGCUAAUGCUAGAAUUUAUCAUUUUCAGACAUUUAGCAGUUAGCAAAGCAUGGAGGAAAUGACCGCCCACCACCACAACCACCACCACCUUGUCUUGGAGUACUCUUUAAUAAAUGGACCAUUAAUCCUGUUUUUCCUCUGGUAUAGAUUAGUUUCUGGGUCUUGAGGUUAAAAAGGGAAAUUUUACCAUUUCUUAGAGAGUGAACAUAGGAUUAUGGCCAACCUGUAUGCUUUGUGAGUUUCAGGUCAGCAGGGCCUACUCUGUCUUAUAAAUGAAUAGGACUGAUUACAUCUUCAGUGUAUGUGACUUGUUUUUUAAAAAAAGGCAAGUAAGGGGCUGGGUAUGUAGCCCUAUCUUAGAUGUUCUUAAUUUUGUAGCAGAUAUAGGCCCAUCCUGACAUUCUUGGGUUUUUUUUUUUAUUUUUUUGGACAAUGUUUCUCUGUGUAUGGGCCUUGGCUGUCCUUCAACUAGCUCUACAGGUUAGGCUGACCUCAAAUCCAUAGAGAUUACCCCUGCCUCUGCCUUCCAGGUGUUGGGAUUAAAAAUCAUGUGUCACCAUGCCUGGUGUUGUCAUUUUUUUUUUUUCGGAAUAUUUCAGAUUCUGUCUCUCUCUCUCUCUUUUUUUUUUGGUUUUUCGAGACAGGGUUUCUCUGUAGCCCUGGCUGUCCUAGAACUCACUUUUGCCUCUGCCUCCGGAGUGCUGGGACUAAAGGUGUGUGCCACCACGCCCGGCCAGAUUCUGUCUCUUAAUAGUUGUUUGUUUGUUUUAAGAUUUAUUUUAUAUAUGUGAGUACACUGUCCCUGUCUUUGGACACACCAGAGGAGGUGUAUCAGAACCCGAUACAGAUACCUGUGAACCUCCAUGUGGUUGCUGGGAAUUGAACUCAGGACCUCUGGAAGAGGAGUCAGUGCCCUUAAGUGCUGAGCCAUCUCUCUAGCUCUCUUUAUAGUUUUGUUUUGCUUUUUUUUUUAAAUACUGUCUUUUUGUUUGUUUGUUUUUUAAAACAAGGUCUCUCUUGUCCAUGUUAUCUUGAACUCAUUAUGUAGCCCAGUUUGGUCUUGAUUUGAAAGAAUCCUCCUCCUGCCUCAGUCUCUCAAGGGAUGAAGUUACAGGUAUGACCCCACCAUACCAGACUCUUUGAGCCUAUCUGUCUGUUUGGUAAAAUGUUUCACCAAACAAGCAUAUGAAGUACAGAGUUCUCAUCUGUAAUGUAUUCAUUUUCUUAAAAAUCAGGUCAAUUUCAAGGUUGUACGUAUGGUUGGUAGAAUUCUGGUCUACCAUGCCUGGAGUCCCUUACUAGGGAAUAAACCUGGCAUGGUGGUGCUGACCUGCAAUCUCAGCAGUAGGGAUGUAAUGGGAAGAGGACCAGUCAAGUCCAUUCUCAGCUACAUAGCAAGUUGAGGGCCAUUCCACACUCUUAUGAUAGUCUGGCUCAAAUCCACCCCCUCCCUCAACAGACACACAAAAGAGAGAAAAUAGGACAGUUCCCAUUGAUCAAAUUCAUAGGUACUUACAGAUCUACAGUCAGUUUUUUGUUUUUGGUUUUUCAAGACAGGGUUUCUCUGUAUAGCCCUGGCUGUCCUGGAACUCUGUAGACAAGGCUGGCCUUGAACUCAGAAAUCCGCCUGCCUCUGCCUCUGAGUGCUGGAAUUAAAGGCGUACACCACCACGCCUGGCCACUAAUGUUUUAAAGGUCUGAAAUAAGCACUCCUGGUUUAAUGUGCUAAGAAAACAAAACUUAGUCUAGGCUAUGUUAGCACAUGCCUUUGAUCCCAGCACUUGGGAGAC
rnacentral:lncRNA from 1 species